CGCUGAUUGUGGCAACACAGGCAGUGAUCGAACAGGAAUCAGCAGAGGUCAUAGUAGGUGUAGGAAUACGUCAUUGAC
rnacentral:ncRNA from 1 species